AAUGAACGUUGGCGGCGUGGAUUAGGCAUGCAAGUCGAGCGAGAACCCCGCAAGGGGGGACAGCGGCGAAAGGGACAGUAAUGUGUAGAUUAUCUGCCCUCAGGUCCGGGAUAGCUGCGGGAAACUGCAGGUAAUACCGGAUAACAUCUCCGGAUCAAAGGUGUGAUUCCGCCUGAGGAUGAGUCUGCAUCCUAUUAGCUAGUUGGUGGGGUAAUGGCCUACCAAGGCAUUGAUGGGUAGCAGGUGUGAGAGCACGACCUGCGUCAUUGGGACUGAGACACUGCCCAGACACCUACGGGUGGCUGCAGUCGAGAAUCUUCGGCAAUGGGCGCAAGCCUGACCGAGCGACGCCGCGUGUGGGAUGAAGGCCUUCGGGUUGUAAACCACUGUCAGAGGGGAUGAAAUGCAGGUGGGUUCUCCCACCUGUUUGACAUAGCCUCAGAGGAAGAACGGGCUAAGUUCGUG
rnacentral:rRNA from 1 species